UUAGGACCUAGAGAAUCUAUCUGCAAGGUUGUAUGUGGCUUUUGUGCACCUCUGCGUAAUCUGCCAUAGCCAUCGAGAGCUGGAGCUCUCUUGAAUUUUUAUAUCAGUUUUCGACGGUGAAACCGCGUUUUUCUCCGGCAAGUUUGAGAGUGUUGGCCCUCGAAUUCAGUUGGACACUAUUCUAGGUAAUUAGAAUCUGGCAAGGAUAAUCCGGCAAGUUCAUGUUGAAUCCGAGAUAAAUUCAACGUCCCCGUAUCCUCAAAAGUUUCCGACGAACUCUGGCAAUGCCAGCGGUGGUUGCUGUUAAGAUUAACGGCGACUGCAACGAAAACCGUUAGUUCUAGCGGAAUCUUUCGACAAGGCAGAGGCAAAUUUAAUGGUACAGAGAUGGAUUAAGGCACCUAUUGAGGAAUAUGCUGGAAUUACUAAUGAUGGAUGACUCUAUACUAUGCCACCUGGGGCGAGGAUCUGGUGUUGGCAGUUAGGUCGGGAGAAAUAAUUCCUAGCUACGGGCUGAGGGACACGGAGCAAGCAUUGGGCCAAGAGUAAAUAAUCUCUGGCUACGGGCGCAGAGACCAUGGAGCAGGCAUUGGGCCGGGAGUUAUUAUUAUUAUACAGUGAACUCACUAGUAGCACACUAUAGAUAUAAGAUGACUUGUGAACUGCUUCCUGAGUUGACUUUGCGAGAAUGAUUUAUGUGAUGAUCUUAUGCAUUGACUUAUAAAUUGUUCUAUGGCAUGCUAGAGUUUUCUGA
rnacentral:sRNA from 1 species